rnacentral:rRNA from 1 species
GAGCAGUGGGGAAUUUUGGACAAUGGGCGCAAGCCUGAUCCAGCCAUGCCGCGUGAGUGAAGAAGGCCUUCGGGUUGUAAAGCUCUUUCAGUCGGGAAGAAAAGGCGCCCUCUAACAUAGGGCGUUGCUGACGGUACCGACAGAAGAAGCACCGGCUAACUACGUGCCAGCAGCCGCGGUAAUACGUAGGGUGCGAGCGUUAAUCGGAAUUACUGGGCGUAAAGCGUGCGCAGGCGGUUCGCUAAGACAGGUGUGAAAUCCCCGGGCUUAACCUGGGAACUGCGCUUGUGACUGGCGGGCUAGAGUACGGCAGAGGGGGGUGGAAUUCCACGUGUAGCAGUGAAAUGCGUAGAUAUGUGGAGGAACACCGAUGGCGAAGGCAGCCCCCUGGGCCUGUACUGACGCUCAUGCACGAAAGCGUGGGGAGCAAACAGGAUUAGAUACCCUGGUAGUCCACGCCCUAAACGAUGUCAACUAGUCGUUCGGAGCGGUAACGCACUGAGUGACGCAGCUAACGC